rnacentral:piRNA from 1 species
CAGCUAAUGUCAUUCCUGUUGGGUCCUG